rnacentral:lncRNA from 1 species
UUGCAUUUGAUCACAAAAAAUGUAACAUUCUUCCUCAAGUUUUUAAAGAUAUGAGUAAGGAGAAAACUAUGAUGAUUCCCAAAUCCAACUAAUCAUCAGCAUUACUUAGAGUUCUUCUAAAAAAUUCUGUCUCCCCGACAUUGCCCCUGGAGGUUCUGAUUCAGCAAGUCUGAAGAGAAGCCCAGGAUCAGCUAGUUUGGGAAGCAUUCUCUGGCCUGUAUCAUGUUGACUGCUUAACAGGUCUUAUAUCUUUAUCUGAAUUUCUUUAUGGUGUCUUAAACCAAGCUGUUUGUGAGUUCAGAUCUGUGUGUGUUGUCAGCAUGAAUGAUAACUGAGGUUUCAAAGUAAGAACAUGAUUAUGACAUCAUGGAACUUGUUCUUGACCUCAGGUGGUGUGAAAUAAUGGAAGUUCAUCCAGUUCAUCCAGUAAAUAUUUACUGAGCCCUUACUCUGUGUCAGACACAGUUCUAUGUGCCAGUGAUGUAGAGUGAAUACAGUAGGAAAACAUUCCUGUUCUCAUGCAGCUGACAUUGUAGUAGAGGGAGACAGGACAAAAGUAAAUACAUACAAUGUACGGAAAGAAGGCUAUGAAAAAAGUUAAGGGAGAUGCUAUAACGAAGUGGCCACGAACAUUCAUAUGCAAGUUUUUGCGUGGACCUGCACUUUUAUUUCUCUUGGCACUCAGGACUCAGAGUGACACGGGAGGUGUCUCUGAAGCAUUAGGAUGGCUUGUUGGGGGCCCUGGUGCUCUCACCACAUGCACUGCAGAUGCUUAAUUGGCUCAGCUGGAACAAAACAAGGUGUGAAAGGAAACACGAAAGAUCUUUCUUCCUCAUCCCAAGAAGCAGCACCUACCACCAUUCUCAACAAGAAAUAUCUAUGUUAUGGUCACCGACAAGAGUUUACCACCUCGCAACGUCGUGUUGUUACUGAAUUGUUUAUUGUCAGUCUCCCCAGUGUGCACGUUGGCUCCAAGACUGAGACUUCCUCUCUCUUUUCGUCUCUCUAUCUUGGGAAUCUAGAAGGGUGCCUAGCACAUUUGUUGAAUGAAUGAAUAAAGGAAUGAGUUUUUCAAAUGUCGAUUAUGUAAUAUCUCAUUUUUCUCCUCUUUUGAAUAAGGGAAAUAACAUCUCUCUUACAAGAAUAUUGUGAAGAUUAGGUGAUAAAAGAUAGGAAUAUUCCCAACCUCAUUAUUAGAAAAAUAUUGGUUCCAUUUUCUCUCCUCUAAAGAGUGGUUCUCCA